GCAGGGUUGUUUUUUUUUCUCCUCCUCCUCCUCCUCCUUGCUACGGUUUCUUUUCUUUUCUCUUCCUGUCCAAAUAUUUUUAAAUUUCCGCGCCUGAAAUAACAGCUCCUUUAAUUUACUCAGUUUCCUCCGAAGGCUGGGCUGUCGGCUGGGCCCGUCUCCCCCCCACCCCCGCCCCCACCCCAUCCCGCCGCCUGGCUCCCGCGGGUCGCGGGGCUGGGAGGGGGGGCAGCAGGCGCUGCUCUGCCCCCGCCCCCACCCCCCUCGGCCCCCCUGCGGGGACCUCGCCUGACCCCGGCUCUCUGGGCGCCUGGGGCUAGCGGGAGGAGGCAGGGAUGGGGGAGACCGCGGCUUCCUCCCCUUCCCCCCCAGCCCGGCCGUCUCCCUCCUUCCCGGCUCGGCCUCCCCCGUUUCCAGUCUCGGGGCUCCUCUUAGCCCGCCUCCCCUUGGAGAGAGCGGCUCUCCUCCCGGCCUCGGACCCCCAGCCCCCUCGGCCUCAGCCCCCGGCACCAGCGGCGGCGGCGGGGCGGAGGGACCGAAGCCUCUCCCCCAACCCCCCGGUAACCUUGGAGGCGCCCUCGCACAAAUUUGGAAACCUGGGAAGCAGAAGACUAGAAGAGAGAGUAUGUUAAUUGUAUAAAUGAAGAGGAAGAGAGACGUUCUCCAAGGUGACCGUGUCCCAGGUGGAGGCGGACGAACCCUGUUCACAGAUUGUUAGACUUGAGUAAGAAGAUGAGACUCACAGCCUAAGUUCCGGACAGAGACCAGAAAGACAAAGUCUCUGCCAUUUUAAGAUCUUGUCGUUUCCAGUGUGGUUAUUCAUUCUCCUUAGCUCUCUCCCUCAAGAACAACUUGUUCUCUCCCUGGGCUCUGAGCAGUGAGCUUCAUCCUCCCUUUCAGGUUCUUCUAACGUCAAGAUCAAACACUCUGAACACAUCUGCCCCCAGGUUUAAUCCACAACUGCCAGACCUUGGAGAAUGAAAGGGGAAAGCCUUUAAUGGGCAGAAGGCUCCUCGGCUUCUGUGCUCUAGAGUAAAGCUUCUGUGGCAGAGUCAAAAAGGGUCCCAAAAGGAAGCACGGGCUUGAGGAGAGGAACUACAAAUGUCUCCGUCAGUCUGGGCGGUGAGGAAAGGGAAGGGAAGCAUCACACCUUAUUCUCUUGAAGAUCCCAAGCCUACCAUGCUUCCUGGUACUGCUUCUUCUCCUGACCUGGCCUCCAGAUCCUGCGGCUUUCUAACCCUAAAACUUCCAUAGGAUCUUCUCAUCUUGGAACAUUUCUUAACUCUUGACGUCCCCUUCUCCUGUUGGGUGGCCCAGAUGAGGAAAUUCUACCAAUGCAGGACUCAGGUGUCAGCUUUAGCAAGUGAAGAACUGAACAUCUGCUAUUCAAGGAACUACUCAUCAAAAAGGUCCAUUUCAUCUGUAGAAAGUCUCAAAGACCGUCUAUUAACCUGAAUUCUGGGCACAUUCACCCUUCUCUCUGCUCCUGGGAGCUGGCAGUUCACUUGAGGAAAGAAGUUCUGAGCUCUCCCAGGAGGGCUAAGAAACCAGGGUACCCCACAAAAAAGUAGCUAUGUAACCCUUUUUAUUUUGCGGUAUUUGUCUUCCCUCAUUAGAUUGUAAGCUCCUUGAGGGCAGGUUCUUUUUUUGUGUUCAUUUUCCCAUUGCUUAGCACAUAGGAGGGCUUAAUAAAUUGUUAUUGAUGCACUGACUUACAUGGUUCUAUCCCUUGUUGAGAAUGCUCUCCAUUCUCACUUUCAUCUUCCAGAAUCCUUGGCUUCCUUUCAGACUUAGUUUACUAGCUCCCUUCCAUGGGAAGCCCUUCUGAUCCUCCCAUCUGCAAGCACCUUCUUCUGUAAGGUUACCUUCCUUCUAUGCUGAAUGUACACUACUUUGUAUAAAUGCAUGUGUAACUAUAUAUUCAUGAAUAGACACAUAUAUGUAAUGUUUGAGCUAGCUUUCUAGUCCCUCCGGACGGACCUUGGUCUCAGCAGGAUAGUCACCACAAGGAUGGACAAGAAUAGAGUCUAAAGUCUUUAUUAUAUGAAAAAAUGUU